rnacentral:lncRNA from 1 species
GGAACGACGUCCUGUCGAAAUUCCACGAGCUUUUGUCCGCAACUUGUCGUCGUUCGCUCUGAGGAAUAACGUCCU